GAUAGUAUGACAAAUUUAAAUACACCUAGUUUUACUGAUAUGUUGAACUUGAUACAGGCACAAUUACCCAAAGUGGGAAAUCAAAGAAAUUAUGAAGAUGUUGAAUAACGAGAUAGAAUUGAAGAUAGAAGUGUGAUUGCUUGUAGGAAUUUAUCAGCCACGCUCCAAGUCCAUAGAGAUCAUGCAUUGAGAUAUUAACUUAAUUUUGCAAAUUUUUUAUCUUUUACUAUGGUUUUCCAGAUGUGUCUUUUAGUUAGAUCUUGUUAGAAAAUGGGCUCCUUGAACUUCUGUAUUUGGGGGAGGAGCAUCGUUUUUUGUUUGUUUGUAGGCCUAAAACUUCUGCUUCCUUUAAAAAUUAUCUUCCUUGAACUUCUGUA